GAUGAACGCUGGCGGCGUGCCUAAUACAUGCAAGUCGAGCGAACGGACGAGAAGCUUGCUUCUCUGAUGUUAGCGGCGGACGGGUGAGUAACACGUGGAUAACCUACCUAUAAGACUGGGAUAACUUCGGGAAACCGGAGCUAAUACCGGAUAAUAUUUUGAACCGCAUGGUUCAAAAGUGAAAGACGGUCUUGCUGCCACUUAUAGAUGGAUCCGCGCUGCAUUAGCUAGUUGGUAAGGUAACGGCUUACCAAGGCAACGAUGCAUAGCCGACCUGAGAGGGUGAUCGGCCACACUGGAACUGAGACACGGUCCAGACUCCUACGGGAGGCAGCAGUAGGGAAUCUUCCGCAAUGGGCGAAAGCCUGACGGAGCAACGCCGCGUGAGUGAUGAAGGUCUUCGGAUCGUAAAACUCUGUUAUUAGGGAAGAACAUAUGUGUAAGUAACUGUACACAUCUUGACGGUACCUAAUCAGAAAGCCACGGCUAACUACGUG
rnacentral:rRNA from 1 species